AGUUAGGAUAACAGACAUGAUGAACCACCCUACAUAGGAACCCUAGUUAGGAUAACAGACAUGAUGAACCACCCUACAUAGGAACCCUAGUUAGGAUAACAGACAUGAUGAACCACCCUACAUAGGAACCCUAGUUAGGAUAAAUCCUUUUAGGGCUAGGGGGCAGUAUUUUCAGUUUUGGAUGAAAAGCGUGCCCAGAGUAAACGGCCUAAUACUCUGGCCCAGAGUCAAAUGUUUGCAAAUGAUUAGUAGAUUUGGAUAGAAAACAGUCUAAAGUUUCCAAAACUGUUUGAAUGGUGUCUGUGAGUAUAACAGAACUCAUAUGGCAGGCAAAAACCUGAGAGAAAUCCAACCAGGAAAUGAAAUUCUGGUUCCUGUAGUUUUCUCAAGUCCUUGCCUUUCUGACACACAGUGAGUUAGGACUCAAAUAGCACUUCCUAAGGAUUCCACUAGAUGUCAACAGUCUUAGAAAGUUGUUUGAGCCUUUUGCGGUAAACACAGACCGAAGGAGAACGCUGGUAAGCAGGUGACCAGAAAAACACUUCAGUUCAUCACGUUAGCAGAUACCUGCGUUCCAAAACAUUUUUCAAGACAAUGCAUGGGUCCGGUUGGAACGUAUUGAAGUUUGAACUUAAAAUGGCCCUAAAGAUUGAUGCUAUACAACGUUUGACAUGUUUGAACGAACGUAAAUAGUACUUUUUUUUACUUUCGUCGUGAAGGUUUUCUCGCGCGCCCUACAUUUUGAGUAGCCUACUGAACGCGCAAACAACAUGGAGUUAUUUGGACAUAAAUUAUGAACUUUAUCGAACAAAACAACAUUUAUUGUGGACCUGGGAAUCCUGGAAGUGCCUUCUGAUGAAGAUUAUUAAAGGUAAGUGAAUACUUCUUAUGCUAUUUAUGCGUUUAGAUGACUCCAAGACGGCCGGUGUCUAUAAUUGCCUGCUGUUUUUUUCUGAGCGCAGUACUCAGAUUAUUGCAAAGUGUGCUCUCCCAGUAAAGUUAUUUUGAAAUCUGUCAACGCGAUUGCAUUCAGGAGAUGUUAAUCUAUAAUUCUUUGAAUAACAGUUUAAUAUUUUAUCAACGUUUAUAAUGAGUCAUUUUGUAAUUUGUUGUGCUGAUUCACCGGCAGUUUCGGAGGAAAGAUAUUUUCUGAACAUCACGCGCCAAUGUAAAAUGCUGUUUUUGGAUAUAAAUAUGAACUUGAUAGACAAUACAUGCAUUUUUUGUUCUAACAUAAUGUCCGAGGAGUGUCAUCUGAUGAAGAUUGUCAAAGGUUAGUGCAUAAUUUUUGCUGGUUUUCUGCUUUUGGUGACGCUUGUCCUUGCAUUGAAAAUGGCUGUGUGUAAUUUUUUGUCUAUGUACUGUCCUAACAUAAUCUAACUUUAUGCUUUCGCCGUAAAGCCGUUUUGAAAUCGGACAACGUGGUUGGAUUCAGGAGAUGUUUAUCUAUAAAAUGGUGUAAAAUAGUUGUAUGUUUGAGAAAUUUGAAUUAUGGCAUUUUGUUGUUUUCGAAUUUGGCGCUCUGAUUUUUCACUGGCUGUUGAAUAGUGUGAACCGUGGGUGGGACGCUAGCGUCCCACGUAGCCCAUAGAAGAUAACAGACAUGAACCACCCUACAUAGGAACCCUAGAAAGGGUAAAGAUGGGGACUAGGACAGGACAGCAGUUUUGAAUCAGACACAGUACAGGACAGACAUACUUUAUAGGACAACUUCAUGGCUUUUAGAAUUUCCCCAGGUAAUAUACAACUGUUUCCAUGACAACUCCCUCACUAACAGGAAGGUGACUGCUUGAUCUUUAUUAACAAACACUGAAAUGGGGAGCUGAACUGAAACUAGUGGCUGUAAAUAAAAUACACUCUCUCUCAAUUCAAUUCCAUUCAAGGGGCUUUAUUGGCAUGGGAAACAUAUGUUAACAUUGCCAAAGCAAGUGAAAUGGAUAAAUAAAAGUGAAAUAAACAAUAAAAAGUUAACAGUAAAUAUUACACUCACACAAGUUCCAAAUAAAUAAAGACAUUUCAAAUGUCAUUAUGUCUAUAUAUACAGUGUAGUCUCUCUCUCUAUGUCUCUCUCUAUGUCUCUCUCUCUCUCUCUCUGUGUGUCUCUGUCUCUCUCUCUCUCUCUUUCUGUGUCUCUGUCUCUCUCUCUGUCUCUCUCUCUCUCUCUCUCUCUCUCUCUCUCUCUGUAUCUCUCUCUCUCUGUAUCUCUCUUUCUCUGUCUCUCUCUCUCUCUGUCCAUCCAUCCAGUCAGUCGUUGUUUAGGGAGGUUUAUAACGGAGGGUAGAUGGAGAAAGCAGAAGAGAACAGCUCUACCUCACACACAGUCAGCGUCCCAAAUGACACCCCUACUCCCUACAUAGUGCACUACUUUAGACCAGGGCCUAUAGGGCUCUAUGUAGGGAAUACGAUACCAUUUGGGACGCACCCACAGACCCGGUUCUCAUUUUGGUUAAGGGGGGGUGUCAGACUCCCAGCCAGCUUGGCUAGAACAAACACCAGAGACUCCAGAGACUAAUAGUCCCAGAAAUAAUUACUAAAUCACAUCACUGUGUUUUCUUUACCAUAUCUGAUUGUCACAUGUGUGUUCUAGAACAGGGUAAAAUAAUCCCCCUCUAACACUCCCCCUCUAACAAUCCCCCUCUAAUAAUCCCCCUCUAAUAAUCCCCCUCUAACACUCCCCCUCUAACACUCCCUCUAACACUCCCCCUCUAACACUCCCCCUCUAAUAAUCCCCCUCUAACACUCCCCCUCUAACACUCCCCCUCUAAUAAUCCCCCUCUAAUAAUCCCCCUCUAAUAAUCCCCCUCUAACACUCCCCCUCUAAUAAUCCCCCUCUAACACUCCCCCUCUAACACUCCCCUAGACACUUCUGCAAUGCAGGACGGCCUUUCUAUAGCAGCCAUGUUUAGAGACAAACACUAAGCAUGUGUGUGUGUGUGUGUGUGUGUGUCUGUCUGUGAGUCACUGGGCCGGACCUGUUCCUAGUUAUCACAGCUUUUCUUGCCUGUCUUUAUUCUGUUUUCUUAGGCAGGUCUCAGGAGUAUACUGCUGCUACAGAGGCCCUGGUCCAGCCCUGUGUUACUGUGUGGCUGUGUCUGUAUGUAGAAGGGUGGGGGUGUGUGUGCAUGGAUAUACUAUGUGUCUGUGCACGCUUAAACUAUGUGUGUGUGAGGUCUCAGCAGUAUCCUCUAGCUGCUGUUACAGAGAGAGGCCCCAGGCCCCACUGGCCCCCAGGCUCUGUGUUACUGCCACUCCUACAGGGUUAGAGCUCAUAAAUCUAUAGGAGAGAUAUGGAGGGAGGAGAAGAGAGGGGAUGAGGAGAGAUGAAGGAGAGGACGGACAGGAGAAAGAGGAGGGGUGUUUUGGAUGUGGAUAUGAGGGUCUGUGAGGGAGGGAGUGAGGGAGGGAGGGAGGAGUGAGUGGAGAGGAUGGAGAAGAGGGAGGGAGGAUAGAGGGGGGAGAGGAGGGAGAAGAGGGAGGGAGGGAGGAUAGAGGGAUAGAGGGGGGAGAAGAGGGAGGGAGGGAUAGAGGAGAGGAGGGAGAGGGAUAGAGGGAGG
rnacentral:lncRNA from 1 species